GCCGUCCAGAUAUGCUGCCUCUACGUGGCGGAUGGCAGGCAACGGAUUUCUAUCCGGCUAAAAGCGGAA
rnacentral:ribozyme from 1 species